AACCCUCAAGCUCAGCUUGGUAUUGAGUCCAUGUCAGCAAUGGCAGGCUCUAAAAUCAGUGGCGGCGCCGCUGGGUCCUGAACGUAGUAAUAUCUCUCGUUACAGGUUCUCGGUGUGCUUCUGCCAAAACCCAAAUUUUCUAUGGUUGA
rnacentral:rRNA from 1 species